GUGCUAUAUGAAAGGAGAAGGUCAGCAUUUCCCUUGAUAAGAAUGGAAAGGCCCCAGGCCUGACAGCACACCUGCAGAGAAGGCAUUGCCACCUACUUGGUGGCCUGUAACCACUGCUUUUU